rnacentral:tRNA from 1 species
GGGGCGGUAGCUCAAUUGGGAGAGCACCUCGUUCGCAAUGAGGAGGUUGAGGGUUCGAUCCCCUUCCGCUCCA